GUAGAUAAUGAUGACUAACUGAAUUGAUGACUUUGGGCAUGGUUUAGUAAUCAGUUUCAUGAUUUCUAU
ensembl:miRNA